rnacentral:rRNA from 1 species
GAUGAACGCUGGCGGCGUGCCUAAUACAUGCAAGUCGAGCGAACAGACGAGGAGCUUGCUCCUCUGACGUUAGCGGCGGACGGGUGAGUAACACGUGGAUAACCUACCUAUAAGACUGGGAUAACUUCGGGAAACCUGAGCUAAUACCGGAUAAUAUAUUGAACCGCAUGGUUCAAUAGUGAAAGACGGUUUUGCUGUCACUUAUAGAUGGAUCCAAGCCGCAUUAGCUAGUUGGUAAGGUAACGGCUUACCAAGGCAACGAUGCGUAGCCGACCUGAGAGGGUGAUCAGCCACACUGGAACUGAGACACGGUCCAGACUCCUACGGGAGGCAGCAGUAGGGAAUCUUCCGCAAUGGGCGAAAGCCUGACGGAGCAACGCCGCGUGAGUGAUGAAGGUCUUCGGAUCGUAAAACUCUGUUAUUAGGGAAGAACAAAUGUGUAAGUAACUAUGCACGUCUUGACGGUACCUAAUCAGAAAGCCACGGCUAACUACGUG